rnacentral:rRNA from 1 species
CUACGGGUUGCACCAGUGAGGAAUAUUGCACAAUGGAGGAAACUCUGAUGCAGCAACGCCGCGUGGAGGAUGACGCAUUUCGGUGUGUAAACUCCUUUUAUGAGUCAAGAAAAUGACGGUAGCUCAUGAAUAAGCACCGGCUAACUCCGUGCCAGCAGCCGCGGUAAUACGGAGGGUGCAAGCGUUACUCGGAAUCACUGGGCGUAAAGGACGCGUAGGCGGGAUAUCAAGUCAGGUGUGAAAUCCUACAGCUUAAUUGUAGAACUGCACUUGAAACUGGUAACCUAGAGUAUGGGAGGGGGAGAUGGAAUUAGUGGUGUAGGGGUAAAAUCCGUAGAUAUCACUAGGAAUACCUAAAGCGAAGGCGAUCUCCUGGAACAUAACUGACGCUAAGGCGUGAAAGCGUGGGGAGCAAACAGGAUUAGAUACCCUUGUAGUC